GCUCAUUGCCUGAGAGUGUCAGCUGGGCUUCCUGGGUUGUGGCGACUGACAUACCCCAUGUAAGAAGUCAAACCAUUCUAAAAUUUGAAAAGUUUGAGAAACACUUUUGGCAUAUAAAAACCAGAUUCAAUGGGACAGGUUUAUUGCAUACUACUGCUGUAUCUUACUGUAAACUAAACUGAAUAACUAAAUCACUGAACCCUCAUAUAUCCUUCCAAAUUCCUCCUUACAGCAUUGUUUACUAUGAUAGCCAAUGUCUGCUUAGCGGCUUACACCCUUUUAUCUUGCUAUUCCAAUAAAUGAACAAACAAAAUAAAAUAAAAUCUCGCAAACCAGAACAUGUUUUUAUUUUGACUAACAACAAAUCCUCUUCUGCGUGCAUGUAUCAUUUCCGACAUGGAAUGCUGUAACUCUUUGCUCCUUGUUCUAUCUAUCGUUUUCUCGUUCCCACUCUGAUCUGAGGUAAGGGUUUGGAGUAGGUGACAGUAGUACCUAAGACCGGAAGGGAUCAUCCACCGCCAGCAGUUAGACCCUGCCCGGUUUGUCUCCCACAGUGCAC